rnacentral:lncRNA from 10 species
GUGCCAACUCACCCUCCAGAAGGAGAGUCCAGACCCUUCUCCCACUGCCAGGGGGAAAGUGUCCAUCCCCCUCAGCCAAUCCAAGGGUUUCAAACUUCAGGGGUGUGAUAUCAUGCCAAAUAUAUAUAUUUCCAUCCAUGAUUCCUGGCUCAUAACUCCCAUAGUGCUUGUUAUAAUGUUGGGGUGUUUUAGGCCUCAGAAGCAGGCCUCAGAAAACAGAAUGUCUCUCUCUGUCUCUCUCUCUCUGACCUUCUCCUGCCCUCCUUUCACCUGCUCCUUUUUCUCCCCAAGGCAAGAAUCUUCCCCUGCCUUUCUGUCUGGCCAUAAAUUCUCUGACCUACCUUGUCUAAUUGUAGGUCACAAGAUCCCCAUUUUAGGAGUCCCACCCCAGACCCUGGAGGAAGGAAUGCUGUAGGGAGAGGCCAAGAAGAAUCUGCACAGACAGGCCUUGCGGAGGCUGGAUUUUCAUCUUUCCACCAUUUCUGAAGCGUGGCCCCUUCUGCUCUCAGGGGAGCCUGCUGAACAUGUGUUCUUCUGGGCAUCCCUGGGGUCAAGGUCUAGGUAUGGCUUCCAGCACAGCCAAGAAGCUCCUCUCCCAGGUGCUGGGGGCCCAGGAACCAGCCCUGGGAUCCCUCCUCCGGGCCUAGCUGGCUGGUUUCAGUUAGUGCUUGGACUGGCUUCCCUGGGACAGGGUGCAGUGGGUUCUGCUUGUAUCCAGGCCAGGCCUUAGCUAGUGCAGGAUGAUGGGCUUGGAUCAGAGACUGGCUCCUGGAUGCCGCUGGGUUCUGGGUGGGCCAACUGUAUGGAUGUGAACGCACUUGUCCUCCUGAAACACCAGGUCAAAGAGGAACACAGUGAAGGGAGCCCCAGAGGAGUAGGGCUGGCCCAGAGUCCACCCAGCCCUGUAGUCUUUAAACCCCACCUUUUUGGGGCAGUGAUACAUUGUUCUGAUAAUACAGAUGUAGAACCCCAAUGUAUCAAACCCAGGACAGAGCUGCUCAGGGUGGAGCUGGGAUGAGGUCUGGACUCCCUACCCCCAACCCAGACACACAGACACACUUCAGGAGCCUCCUCCCCGACACCCCAUUCCUAGGCCUCUGAGAGGCCCAGCUUGACAAGCACUAAAGGAAGCUGUCACUGCAAUGCAUAGUGGGAAAAACUGAGGCUUUGUCCAAGAUCAGCCAGCAAAGCAGGGGCAGAAGCUUGGGUGAUGAGCUGAGACUUGGGGUCUGUCCUCAGGACCCUCCUGCUGCUGCCCACCCCCAGGUUCCAAGGCCAAGGGGAGCCAAAAUCAAUGUCUGGGUCCAAACUGAGCUUUGCAGAGAUGCCUGAUGGCCACUCAGGAGAGCACUGGCUCUUGUUCCAGACAGAAGCUUCUCCUAAAGUGAGGAGAGUGAGGCCCACACGGGGGGCCAUGGGGCCUGCCUCCACCCCACCCAGUCCCUCCACCCCAGCUCCACGGCCAGGGAAGCUCUGCAGACUCUCCCCACCUCUCCUUAGAGAUUAAAGGUCUGGGGGGUUCUGCCACCCCUGCUCACCUGAGUUCCCAGACUUGACCAUGAACUCCCUUAUUUCUGGGAAACACUCUGGAGCAUUCUCUGGCAUCCCAGAGGUAAGGCCCAGCCGGGGAUCAAUUACAGAGGGUCUGUGCAUGGUGGGGAGCCCAAGGGCCUCCCUUGCCUUUGAUUAUUAUAUUUUUAAGUCAUGGAGGUCUCUCUUGUCUGAGCCAAGGGGUCUCAGCCCAGCUCUGCCGCUAACCAGAAGGGGGACUUUAGCCAGCCCCCUACGAGAGGACAUUUCCCCAUUCCCUUCAUGAAUGCAAACCUCAGCCCUCCAGGAUUACCAGUGGGAAGACAGGUCACUUCUUUGUCAGCUUCAGAAGAUCAAGACCAAUUUAUGGAGAAACCGAGAGAUGAGUCCUCACAAGCCCAUUUUCCAGAUGAAAAGCUGAGGCCCAGUGAGGGGAAUGGUCACAGAGGGACACUGGAUAGCCUGGGAGUUCGGACCAAGAGUCCUACAUCCCCUCCACCGCCGACCCCACCCAGGCUGGCCCUGAGCUGCUGCACAAGAACUUGCCCGUGACCUCCCGAUCCCAGCCGCUGCCCUCUGACCUCCCGAUCCCAGCCGCUGCCCUCGCUGAGCUUGGACCACGUGCCUGAGACCCGUCUUUCCUCAUUUAAACCCUGCUCGGGGUGGGGGGGGCUCCACACCGGCGGGGAACGUGCUUGUUCACCGUGUGUUCUUAGCCUCUAGAACAGAGCCUCAGGCACAGGAGGCACUUCACAUUUAUUGAAUAAAUAGAUGAAUGAAUCAGUGUCAUCCUC